rnacentral:rRNA from 1 species
UACGGAGGGUGCGAGCGUUGUCCGGAAUCAUUGGGCGUAAAGGGCGCGUAGGUGGCGGCUUAAGCGUGCGGUGAAAGCUCGGGGCUCAACCCCGAGUCGGCCGUGCGAACUGAGUCGCUUGAGCACUGUAGAGGCAGGCGGAAUUCCGGGUGUAGCGGUGGAAUGCGUAGAGAUCCGGAAGAACACCGGUGGCGAAGGCGGCCUGCUGGGCAGUAGCUGACACUGAGGCGCGACACGUGGGGAGCAACA